rnacentral:rRNA from 1 species
UGGGGAAUUUUCCGCAAUGGGCGAAAGCCUGACGGAGCAAUGCCGCGUGGAGGUGGAAGGCCUACGGGUCGUCAACUUCUUUUCUCGGAGAAGAAACAAUGACGGUAUCUGAGGAAUAAGCAUCGGCUAACUCUGUCCCAG